rnacentral:rRNA from 1 species
UACGUAGGGUGCGAGCGUUGUCCGGAAUUAUUGGGCGUAAAGAGCUCGUAGGCGGUCUGUCGCGUCCGUUGUGAAAACUCGAGGCUCAACCUCGGGCUUGCAGUGGAUACGGGCAGACUAGAGUGCGGUAGGGGAGACUGGAAUUCCUGGUGUAGCGGUGGAAUGCGCAGAUAUCAGGAGGAACACCGAUGGGCGAAGGCAGGUCUCUGGGCCGCAACUGACGCUGGAGGAGCGGAAAAGCAUGGGGAGCGAACAGG